ensembl:lncRNA
CAUCACUUGCUCAGUGUCGCUCUGCUGAUGCUACUCUGUUGUUUUGCAAGGGGGUUGUUAUGAUAUAUAUAUUUUUCUUUUUCUGUAGCAUCCCAGCUGGAAAUGUAAGAUAAUAUCCAAAAUAAUUAAGAGCUCCUCACACUAUAUUUCCUGCUUGCAUUCUGUCUCCAAGACAUCUUCCAUGGGAGAAAAUAUAAUAUGUUGUGUGUGUCUGGACCAUCAAACCCCAAAGCUGACCCUGCACCCUAUGUACAGAGCCUCACCCUGACCAGCAGAGCUGUGUAGGGUGAGCCUCGUCAUGGAACUGUCUGCACUGUCUGGAGCACAGUGCCUGAAUGCAAAUUUGGUUCCAUCCAUGAAGGCCCUGGUGCAUCAGCCCCAGAAGUUUCUUCUCCCUCUCUCCUUAUGGAUAUGUAUAUGGCAAUGUGUCUGAGGUGUGAAAAUUCAAGAUCUGGGGUUGCCAAAGAUUGCUGCAAAGCCUGGUGAAGACCACAGCAGUUGACCAGUGAAUUUUCUACCCGAGGGCUGCAUGAUCCAAAGGGGCUCCUUGGCAGCAAGGUGGGAGAGGGUAGCCUCCCUGUAGCAGUGAUUCCUACCUGUGAGGAGCAGACAGCCUUCGGGAGGACUUGUCCAUAUUUACUUUGUGUCCCCAUCGUGCUGUCCUACAGUCACCUAGCAGCCAGACAGCACCAACAACGAGCAAUUUCAGAGCCCCAAUUAGUGAAUUUACUGACAGCUCAUGGUAAGAGGGUGAAUGCAUGCACCAUUCUAUUACUCUUAGCAGACUAUUGGAGCUUGAUUGUG